GUGCCAGCAGCCGCGGUAAUACGUAGGGGGCAAGCGUUGUUCGGAAUUACUGGGCGUAAAGGGCGCGUAGGCGGCGCGGUAAGUCGGGAGUGAAAGCCCGGGGCUCAACCCCGGAACGUCUUUCGAAACUGCCGAGCUAGAGUGCGGAAGAGGCAACUGGAAUUCCCAGUGUAGCGGUGAAAUGCGUAGAUAUUGGGAAGAACACCUGAGGCGAAGGCGGGUUGCUGGGCCGACACUGACGCUGAGGCGCGAAAGCCAGGGGAGCGAACGGGAUUAGAUACCCGCGUAGUCC
rnacentral:rRNA from 1 species